CGAGGCUUCGUUCACGAGUUAUUAACGAAAAACCGGGACCAAUCGGAGAGCGAGUGUGGCUGACGGCACGCCCUCGCGGCCACCACAGCCACGUCAUACGGUCGGCGUGACGCGAGAUUGGCCGCAAGGGCGGAGCGCUGGCCGCACUCGCUCUCGCGAUCGGUCCACGUUUUUCGUUAAUAACUCGUAAACGAAGCCGCGGAUCGCAUUUUCGCAAAGGAAAAAGUUGCUUUAAAUCACCUCAGCAAUCAUCCUCGCCCAGAUUGCGAGCCAUUUUCAGGACACCCUGUAUAUACUUCAAAGCUCGAAGCUCUCGGAACCUUAUCUCAUCGUAUGGGACAUUUAAUUCUACAUUUUCCGCGGGUUACUCCCACAUCGAAAGUGGUCCCAUCGCAGCCGCGAGACGCAACUGCGAACUGUUUCCAGGGGGAUUUGACUAGAUUUUAUUCUUUCAGGACACCCGACGAGUUCGAGCGCCGUUCAAAAGUAAUGUUCUCGCGAACCGUGGCCACCCGAUGCUCGCGACCGAGCCGGGCCACCAUUUCUCCUCGCGAAUGCUUCCGAAUGUUCGAAGACACGUACCCCGCGCGUUCCGGCGAAUCCUCUCGCGCGCGUCCGCGCGCUCUCGAAAUUUAGCGCGCAAGCUGUCCCGACGAAUAAGAGAGUAUUUUAGGCGAAUGCGCGUGUCUCCGCGAAGGAUUAUGUAUCGCGACGAUAUAUAUAUCGUCUAGUUGUGUCAGUUCCUACGGCAGCGAAAACGGAGGCCGCGCGGAGAGUUUUUCGACGACGAUAUCGGCGUUUUCCCGAGGCGGGGCGAGCCUGCGACGUGUAAAAUGUAAAACGCGCGUACCUGAAAUAAAAUCGCGGAACGUUUCGUCAUGAAUUCGGAAAGCGCGCCCGGCGAACGGAGCAAACGAUUCGCAAUAUUUCCACGCGUCUUUCUCUCUCUGCGUCGAAUCUUCGAGCGCUCCACGAGUCGCGUCGUUCUCUCUCGAGGCUCCCGGGAAAAAUGUAAAACGUUUCCGCGACCCUGAACGCCGCGAAUCGCUAUCGUUAAGCACCUUGGAAUUUAGCGUGGCGAGAUCGAAACGUUGCCGCGGCUUUCGCGGAUCAGAGCUCGCGAGAAUCGCUCGCGCGCGCUGAUCCGCGCGGCGUCGAUUGACGUGCGUCCGUCGCGCGGGUUUGUUCGCGCGCCGACUCGCGUGCGAACGUUCUCUGCCAAAACUGUGUACGGAAUAAACUCUAGAUUGAAGCUCGCAUACUGAAUAAAGAGAAAGACAGCGGAAAAGACAGUGGAGAGAUGCUCGUUCUCACGCAACGUUCACGUUUCUUCCACCCCUUUCAUCGUACACAGCGUCUCAGCGCACACAUACACACACAUGAACACACAUUUUUUCUUUUCUCGAAUCCUCGAAACGCCCCGAAACGCUGCGAGCCCGACAGCCUAUAGCCGCAACUAUCUGCGAUCGCAUAAACACACACACACACACACAUGCAGAGACAAAGAAAUACGUUGUUCCGGCCGGUCGUCGCGUUUUCGUUUCUGAGCCAGCCGGCGCAGGACUAACGUCCUGAUUGUUUUCAGAUUUACGGCGAAUGGAGUGGCCGAGCAUCAGGACGCAGGUCGCGGUCUCGAGUUACAUCUGCCCGAAGUGCAACGCCGGAUUCCGGAGGAUGUGGGACCUGAUUAGGCACAAGUGCGGCCAGAUACCUAGAUACGCGUGUCCGUAUUGCCAUAAGAAGGACAACUCAUCCUCGAACGUUUACAGGCAUAUUAGGAGGUGGCACCCGAAGAUGCCCAGUGGAUCGACACGCCCUGCUUGAAGCCGAACAGGUGUCCGCAGUGCGACAAAUGCUUCGCGAAGCACAGGGACCUGAUCUUCCACGCGAGACACGCGUGCUGCGAGCCGAAGCGGAAGAUACGCGCCGCGAAACGCGCCGGAUCAUUCCACUACGCGAGCACCCUGGACUGCACCCAGUGCGGCAAGACGUUCAAACGCCGGAAAGAUCUCAACUACCACGUGCGACAUUUGUGCGGGAUACGCAGCAUACAGUGCCCCUACUGCAACAAGUGUUACACGUACACGUCGAACGUCAAGUACCACAUUAGUCGGUACCACAAGGGCAAGGAGAUGUCUACCGGGAGCACAGCUUGAAGUGGGACGGCGCCGCGGGCCUCGUUCAUUUCGCGGCGGACGCGAAAGCCGUUUGGAACAACAGGUACAGAUACCAUCCGAACGAGCGUAAGAGGUUCGAGUGCAUGAACUGCGGUUGCCGUUUCACCCAGAAGACGACGAUCACCAGGCACCUGCGUUACUUUUGCGGCCAGGGGCACCGUUAUCAGUGCCCGUACUGCGAGAUGCGUGCCUCGUGCUCCUCGAACAUAUACAGGCACGUGAGGUCGCGGCACGUCGGCUUCGAAGCGCACGCGAUCAAGCUGUUCGCGCCGAUCAAUACGCGACGGUCCACGUGAAAGAGAGAGAGAGAGAGAGAGAGAGAGAGAGAGAGCGAGAGAGAGAGAGAGAUGCGGUUCGGCGGGAAGAACGGCGACGAGACUGUUCGAAUAAUGGAACGCGCGUCGUUCCUCUCGGCGCAGGACUUUGCUCUUAGAGCAAAGCCGGUCGAAUUGUGUUCUAUCACUGUGUGAGACGCCUCGUCCUCUGUCCGUUCUGCUUCUUUUUUGGCUUUUGUUUUUGAACAAUGUUCAGAGACGUGUGAAGACGACGAGAAGAUAAAUAUAUGUGUCUUUCUGUACCAGA